CCUACGGGUGGCAGCAGUGGGGAAUCUUUGACAAUGGGCGCAAGCCUGACCCAGCAACGCCGCGUGAAGGAAUAAAACCCUCGGGUUUUAAACUUCUUUUGUCAGGGACGAAACAAAUGACGGUACCUGACGAAUAAGCCACGGCUAACUACGUGCCAGCAGCCGCGGUAAUACUUAGGUGGCAAGAGUUAUCCGGAUUUACUGGGUGUAAAGGGCGGGUAGGCGGGUGAGCAAGUCAGAUGUGAAAUUCCAGGGCUCAACCCUGGAACGGCAUUUGACACUGUUUUUCUUGAGUGAUGGAGAGGCAGGCGGAAUUCCGGGUGUAGCGGUGAAAUGCGUAGAUAUACGGAGGAACACCAGUGGCGAAGGCGGGUUGCUGGACAUUAACUGACGCUGAGGCGCGAAAGCGUGGGGAGCAAACAGGAUUAGAUACCCUAGUAGUC
rnacentral:rRNA from 1 species